rfam:Triticum urartu cultivar G1812 contig595574, whole genome shotgun sequence.
AACGUACUCCCUCCGUCCGAAAAUAUUUGUCAUCAAGAUGAAUAAAAAGGGAUGUAUCUAGAUACAUCCCUUUUUAUUCAUCUUGAUGACAAAUAUUUUCGGACGGAGGGAGUAUAUA